rnacentral:misc_RNA from 1 species
AAAGUCGUAACAAGGUCUCCGUUGGUGAACCAGCGGAGGGAUCAUUACAGAAAUGAGUAAAAACUCAGACCCGACGCGAACCUGAAACUGUUGCUUCGGCGGGCUGCCAGCCUUGCUGCGUCCGCCAAAGGUCUACACUAGGCUCUUUGUUUACUUGGUAUCUGAAUACGCUUCUAAAAUAGUCAAAACUUUCAACAACGGAUCUCUUGGUUCUG